rnacentral:tRNA from 1 species
GAGGAUGUAGCUCAGUAGGUUAGAGUAUUGGCCUGUCACGCCAAAAGCCGCGGGUUCAAGUCCCGUCGUUCUCG